CCCUUAGAUGUUCUGGGCCGCACGCGCGCUACACUGAUGCAUUCAACGAGCCUAUCCUUGACCGACAGGUCCGGGUAAUCUUUGAAUCUGCAUCGUGACGGGGAUAGAUUAUUGCAAUUAUUAAUCUUCAACGAGGAAUGCCUAGUAGGCGCAAGUCAUCAGCUUGCGUCGAUUACGUCCCUGCCCUUUGUACACACCGCCCGUCGCUCCUACCGAUUGGGUGUGCUGGUGAAAUGUUCGGAUCGGCCGUUUGUCGCGGUUUCCGCUUCAUGUGGCUGAGAAGUUCAUUAAACCCUCCCACCUAGAGGAAGGAGAAGUCGUAACA
rnacentral:rRNA from 1 species